ensembl:lncRNA
CCCGUCAAGGUCAGCGUGCGGAGUGAGGGGCGCCACCGGGCCUCUCCCGCAGCCCCUCUGUCCGGUCAUACGUUUGCAGCGGUGUGUUCUGGUGGCCGUGGGAAAAAACAAAGCGUUGUUCCUAGUGGAAGCAAAAGGGGUCUCCUGGGCUGGUAAAGAGCCCUUGACAAGCUUGAUUCCAUGUAGCAAAACGUGGUUGUGGCAUCGGGCUCGGCAGAGUGCAGGGAGCGUUUGGGCACUGCUCUUAGACAGAGGGUUUGGAUUUUGGGUGGUGCUGUGUGGAUCCAGGAGCUGGACUCGAUGGUCCUUAUGGGUCCUUUCCAACUCGGGAUUCAUGAUAGUUCCAUGAAAAGAUGUGUAUGUCCUCUACAAAUGCAAACUAAAACACUUAAUAGCUGGCAAUGCACGUAUGUCCCAUGAAUACAGAUAAUAAAGUAAUCACAUGCGAACUUCUGUUAACCUCUAGCAAUGUCAUCAGUGCUGCACAAGGCAUCAAAGGAGAAAACACACCUUCCGAAGACCAGAGGAUUAAGCUGGAAUUGCGUUUCCUGUUUUUCUGUGGCCACUGCCACGAGAGCAGUAACAGAACUCAAAGGAAAAGGUUGACCGUGUUGACCUGAGUGCAGCCACUCACACAAGCGCAGGAACAUGGCAGUCUGGAGCUCCAGGGAGCAUCAGCUGCAAUUGACUCCGCAAAUUAUUUUUCAUUCAGGAUGCAAAUGAAAC